GUAGGUGGCAAGCGUUGUCCGGAAUUAUUGGGGCGUAAAGCGCGCGCAGGCGGUUCUUUAAGUCUGAUGUGAAAGCCCACGGGCUCAACCGUGGAGGGUCAUUGGAAACUGGAGAACUUGAGUACAGAAGAGGAAAGCGGAAUUCCACGUGUAGCGGUGAAAUGCAUAGAGAUGUGGAGGAACACCAGUGGCGAAGGCGGCUUUCUGGUCUGUAACUGACGCUGAGGCGCGAAAGCGUGGGGAGCAAACAGGAUUAGAUACCCUGGUAGUCCACGCCGUAAACGAUGAGUGCUAAGUGUUAGGGGGUUUCCGCCCCUUAGUGCUGCAGCUAACGCAUUAAGCACUCCGCCUGGGGAGUACGGCCGCAAGGCUG
rnacentral:rRNA from 1 species